rnacentral:rRNA from 1 species
GACAGAGGGUGCAAACGUUGUUCGGAAUUACUGGGCGUAAAGCGCGUGUAGGCGGCUAAGUAAGUCGGGCGUGAAAUCCCACGGCUCAACCGUGGAAGUGCACUCGAAACUGCAUAGCUAGAGUCCUGGAGAGGAAGGUGGAAUGCUUGGUGUAGAGGUGAAAUUCGUAGAUAUUGGGAAGAACACCAGUGGCGAAGGCGGCUACCUGGUCCGGAUCUGACGCUGAGGCGCGAAAGCGUGGGGAGCAAACAGG